GACAGAGGAUGCAAGCGUUAUCCGGAAUUGAUUUGGGGUACGGUAAAGCGUCUGUGAAGGUGGCUUUUUUAAGUCUGACCAUUCAAAUCCCCAGGGCUUUAACCCCUGGACAGGAUCGGUGGAAAACCUUACCAAAAGCUGGAGUUUACGGGUAGGGGGGCAAGAGGGGAAAUUUUCCGGUGGGAGCGGGUGAAAUGUGUAG
rnacentral:rRNA from 1 species